rnacentral:lncRNA from 1 species
GCUGGGGAGGUCUCCACCCCCUGCCGACGUCAGAUCCGAGUGCGCAUGCACGGCAAGAGCCACACGUGCAUUCAAACCGCCCAUAGGAAAGCAUUACUCAGUGCUUUCCUAUGGACGUCAGCGUCUUCUCACUGUGAUUUUCACAGUGAGAAUCACAGAAACGCCUCUAGCGGCUGUCAGUGAGACAGCCACUAGAGGCUGGAUUAACCCAUAGGUAAACAUAGCAGUCUGAAACUGCUAUGUUUUCAGCUGCAGCGUUAAACCUAGAGGGACCUGGCACCCAGACUACUUCAUUGAGCUGAAGUGGUCUGGGUGCCUAUAGUGGUCCUUUCAAGGCAGACAGUCACAGAGGCAAACACACAGUUAAAGGCAGACAGUCAUGCACAGUUACAGGCACACAAUCACAAACAGUCACACACACAGUUACAGGCAGACAGUCACACAUACUCCAUUACAAGCAGACAGUCAUACACACUCCGUUACAGGCAGGCAGACACUCACGCACGCUGUUAGGCACACUCACACUCAGUUAAAGGCAGAUAGUCACACAUACAGGCACAAACAAAGGCACAGCUACAGCGACACAAUUGGAGUCGCAGACAAUCACAUACAGGCAGACUGUCACACAUACAUAUGCAGAACGUCACACACACACACACAGACAGACAGUCACACACACAUACACACACAGGCAGUCUGUCACACACACACACACACAGGCAGGUAGUCACACAGGCAAGCAGUCACAGUCACACACACCUACCUCUUUCCAUUAUGACUGGAAGGGAGAGUGGAUGCAGUUGGUUGUUGGGGAAGCAGGGACUCUUUCCUUCUUCCCUCUUCCUGUGCAGCAGUUACCAGGGGCUUCGGGUAGGUGUUAGCCCCGCCUCUGCCUCAUGAUAAGCUCCACCCUGCUGCUUGGUAAGCCCUGCCCCACUGCCUCGAUAUUUCUUUUCCAUAGACCUGGGUGGAGAAUAAUGAAAUCCUCCACCUGGGUACCUGUUUUAGCUCCCCCUGCUCUCCUGUCACCCAGCCAUGUGAGAGCUGUGUCGGCCGCAUGGUGCCCCCUGGUCCAUGGCGCCCUGUGCAGCCGCACAGCUCGCACACCCCUAAGGCCGUCCCUGAUUGUAGUGUAAAAACAUGUUACUGUGAAUAUUAUUGUUGUGGAGCUCUGUUAUACACUCAGACACACCAACAAUAUGGAGCUCCUAGAAAAGAGGGACAGAGGGAUUUGGAUUCAAAAUAGGGACUGUCCGUCCUAAAUAAAGGCAUGUGGGAGGUAUGCAAUUGACAUCCCAUGGAAUCCUCCACAGAAAGAUUGUUUGUUCCCUUAGCCAUAACUCUACCUUUUGUCCAGCUUUGUCAAGUGUAGGAAAUAUACAUUGUGGCGAAAAUAACCUCGCCACUGGGUUUUGGAGGGGCCUGUUUGCCAGCCUUUUGCCCCAGGAUUAUGGCCCAUGCGUUAAAACUUUGUUUCUCCCUGUAAAAAGGCUUGUUAAAAAGGUGACUUCCAUGGAAAAUGUGCCUUUUCCCCUCCCCUUUCAACUUUCCUAUUGUUCUCCAGCAGGGCGUUGUCCCAGGGACACUGCCAGACCAGUUUAAACUGGCUGCUUUGUCCCUCCUCAAUCUCUCAUCAGCUCUUGCUAAAUUUUAACCCCAUGGCGAUUUUAUUCUGUUUGUGGGAUCUGAAUGUGGGGGUUCUGUUCAGUAUAAUAGGAAUUAGGUAUUUUUAUGUAUUUUUAUUGUUGUUGUAAAUGGAGAUAUUCCCUGUACUUCGCGAUAAUUAAGUUACCGCACCCACUUAAGCCAAUUAUCUCCAGGAUAGAGGAGAAGAUAGACCGGCUGUACAGCCUAAAUCUGUGGAACUGCUUUGGGCAUGAAAGCCAUGCCUGCAGUCGGUCAAAUAGGAGUUCCAUCUAUCUUUUGAACCACUGGGCCAAUUUGUAUGAUUUUUACAUAUGUUUUUACACUGAUUAUGCUGGUUCAGAAUAUAUGACUUUUGUGGAAAUUGUAUGUAUAGUUUGGAAGUUAUGAAUAUUGUAUAAAACUGUAUAUUUUCCUGUCUGUGAUAAUGAAGUUAGCCCAUUGUGUUCAGUAAAUAUUUCACAGGCAGAGGGGAGGGUUUGUGUGUAGUAUUUGGAUGUGUUUAAAUGUACAAGUCUGUCCUGAUUGGUUUUUACAACAUUAUGUCCUGUAUUCCACAAGGUCCACGUGGGUGGUAACUUUGUGGGAAAACUUGUAUAUAAGUGCCAAUAAACCCUCAGACUGCUGAGUUCCUGUUUUACCCUCAACAUAGAGCCCCAUGGCGAUUUUAUUCUGUUUGUGGGAUCUGAGCGCUGUUCGGAUAUAUUGAGGGCUCAGAUCCAAGCUAUCUGGGGAUAGGUUGAAUGUGGGGGUUCUGUUCAGUAUAAUAGGAAUUAGGUAUUUUUAUGUAUUUUUAUUGUUGUUGUAAAUGGAGAUAUUCCCUGUACUUCGCGAUAAUUAAGUUACCACACCCACUUAAGCCAAUUAUCUCCAGGAUAGAGGAGAAGAUAGACUGGCUGUACAGCCUAAAUCUGUGGAACUGCUUUGGGCAUGAAAGCCAUGCCUGCAGUCGGUCAAAUAAGAGUUCCAUCUAUCUUUUGAACCACUGGGCCAAUUUGUAUGAUUUUUACAUAUAUUUUUACACUGAUUAUGCUGGUUCAGAAUAUAUGACUUUUGUGGAAAUUGUAUGUAUAGUUUGGAAGUUAUGAAUAUUGUAUAAAACUGUAUAUUUUCCUGUCUGUGAUAAUUAAGUUAGCCCAUUGUGUUCAGUAAUUAUAUCACAGGCAGAGGGGAGGGUUUGUGUGUAGUAUUUGGAUGUGUUUAAAUGUACAAGUCUGUCCUGAUUGGUUUUUACAACAUUAUGUCCUGUAUUCCACAAGGUCCACGUGGGUGGUAACCUUGUGGGAAAACGUGUAUAUAAGUGCCAAUAAACCCUCAGACUGCUGAGUUCCUGUUUUACCCUCAACAUAGACCC